GAUGAACGCUGGCGGCGUGCCUAAUACAUGCAAGUCGAGCGAACGGACGAGAAGCUUGCUUCUCUGAUGUUAGCGGCGGACGGGUGAGUAACACGUGGAUAACCUACCUAUAAGACUGGGAUAACUUCGGGAAACCGUAGCUAAUACCGGAUAAUAUUUUCAACCGCAUGGUUCAAAAGUGAAAGACGGUCUUGCUAUCACUUAUAGAUGGAUCCGCGCUGCAUUAGCUAGUUGGUAAGGUAACGGCUUACCAAGGCAACGAUGCAUAGCCGACCUGAGAGGGUGAUCGGCCACACUGGAACUGAGACACGGUCCAGACUCCUACGGGAGGCAGCAGUAGGGAAUCUUCCGCAAUGGGCGAAAGCCUGACGGAGCAACGCCGCGUGAGUGAUGAAGGUCUUCGGAUCGUAAAACUCUGUUAUUAGGGAAGAACAUAUGUGUAAGUAACUGUGCACAUCUUGACGGUACCUAAUCAGAAAGACACGGCUAACUACGUG
rnacentral:rRNA from 1 species